AAUUGCGGCCUUCAGUUAAAAGCCGAUGAUGAAGAAUCAGAUGACAAUGCGAUGGAAGAUGAACUGGAGGCUUUAAGACAAAAGAUGCAAAUGCUUGAAAGCAGAAAUAAAUUGAAGCGUAAAAAAAGAAAAAUUCAGAGACGAAGAGAAAAUGUCGAAUCCGUACAGGAUGCAUCUCAAGAAAACUGCUGCGAAGAAAACGUAUCAAUACCCUCGGUCCAGACUAAUGAAGCCAAUGUGCCAGGUAAAUACACGGAAAUAACAUUGUAUACAAGAGCCGACCAGGCCACGAAUACAAGUGACAUC